rnacentral:rRNA from 1 species
UACAGAGGUGGCAAGCGUUGUUCGGAAUUACUGGGCGUAAAGCGUGCGCAGGCGGUCUUUUAAGUCAGAUGUGAAAUCCCCGGGCUUAACCUGGGAACUGCGUUUGAAACUGGAAGGCUUGAGUGUGGCAGAGGGGGGUGGAAUUCCACGUGUAGCAGUGAAAUGCGUAGAGAUGUGGAGGAACACCGAUGGCGAAGGCAGCCAACUAUUCUAUUCCUGACACUGAGGCAUGAAAGCGUGGGGAGCAAACCGG